CAGUCGUACUUAUGGGUAAUCAGCCUUUUGGGUGUGAUUUUGUGGAGUGUGAGGAGUUAAACGCCUUCAUGCCUGCAUAUUCGUGCACUUUGGGUGCACUUGCCCGUGUGGUAAGUUAACAUCAAUUUUGGUAAUCAUAAAAUGACUGGAGGAAUGUAGCUUUGGUCUCGUAUCGAAGUGUUAUAGACUCUGGUAGAUGUGACGAUUGGGAUUGGAGGAUUGCAACGGAUACCCGUUCGGGGCUACUCGUCUGAUCUCUGAAGGUUGCUCGGUGCCGAAAGCGUGCUUACGGUCAUCGAAAGUCGAU
rnacentral:rRNA from 1 species